rnacentral:lncRNA from 1 species
GCAGACUCCGUCAAGAGCCAGGGCACUCAAUGCACAGUUAGUAUUCACACAAGACAUGGGACAGUGUGCCCAAACAGCCACAGUUUAGAAGGGGGCAUGAGCAGACUGAGUGGGCCAGGGAAGCUUUCUGCAGGAGGUGGGGCAGACCAGAAUGCAAAGCCUUUCCAGGAGGAGAGGACACCCAGCCAAGCACGUAGGAGUGGAAGUGACCUGGCAUGGGCCAGAGUGGUGAAGAGCCUGGCCUGAUUGGAACAGAGGCUGUGAGGGGGUCAGGUCCCAUGCAGCCCUGGAGGUUUUGAGCUGGAGAGACACUUGAUGGCUGUGGCAUUUGGGAACAUCCUUCUAUGCUGGGAGAGGAUGGAGGAAGGGAGCCCAGUGAGAAGAUCUGGCAGCCUCCCAGGGUCUCACUCUGUCACCCAGACUGGAGUGCAGUGGCGCGAUCUCGACUCACCACAACCUCCACCUCCUGGGCUCCAGCGAUUCUCCUGCCUCAGCCUCUGAGUAGCUGGGAUUACAGACUGAAGUCAUGACCUACCUGCCUUGGGCCAGAGUUCCUUCCAGGUUCUUUCACCCAUUUUCCAGCCACGCCUCUGAGGCUGCAUUGUCAUUUAUGAUGACCUUCAUAAAGUUAAGGCCUUCUAUACUUCCUAAUUACCUGCUUAUCUCUACUCUCUGUUUUCACCUAUUUUUCGAAGUUACCUCGAGUGGGUAGAGCUCACAUUUUCACAUCUCACUAUGAUGCUGUUGUUUCUAUGCAGCCGGACCACCACCGUCAUGGUACCCGUUUGAUCAGCCAUUAAGUAUCACAAUUAUUUUCAGAGACACAAAGUAAAGGGCUGGAAGAAUUUCAGCACAGAGUACACAGCACACAUUGCAGAUCAUUAGCUGAGGGUGUUUUCAGUAUACCUAUUGGCCAAGGCACAAAGAAAGGUCUUUUGAGAAGUUUCCAUUGGCUGAGAGCCUAUGAGAACUUUCAGAAUAUAAAAAAAAUUGAUUUCUAAGAGAGUGAGC